AAGAGGAAGCUGUGUGCAGUGGUGCUGGCUGCCUGCCAGUGACUGUACGAGUGAAUCACUGUCUCCUCCGUCUCCUCUCCUGGCUGAGAGCUCCACUCCUCCUAUCCUGCCACCACUGCCUGAGCGGCUGAGCCUGCGACGAGUGCGACUUUGCCGCUGCCUGACUCCUGUCUGCUGAGGUGCAGUUAGUCCAGCUCCUUCGGACGGUUCCAGGCUCCAUCGGGACCAUGUCCAAGUUCCUGCAAGGGUGGCUCCUGGUCUAUUGAAAUGUCUCCAGAUAGUCUGGUCAGGACUCUGGCUCAGCUCCGCGAGGAUCUCCUCUGGUAUCAAAGUCAUGCUUAGAUGAUGGCCCAAGAUGGGAUCACACGUUGAUGGAAGGACAGAUGGCGGAAUCCUAAAAGUCUUUGCAUCCAGAACAAAGAGAACCUGAGGUCAAGGUUAUCCAUGACGCAAGAGACAAGUUUGGGAUCAGCUGGAGUCGCCAUGUAGAGGCUCGUAACUCUGUACCCCAGAACCUUAUUGACCUGAGGGCUGCCCUUCAAGAAGAAUGGGAUACCAUGCCCCAGCAGGCAAUAAGUUGACUUGUGAACAGCAUGAGAUUUUGUUGUAAACCUGUAAUUGAUGCUCAAAGCCACAUGACUAGUUAUUGAGACACUGACAUUUUUGGUGGGGGUAUAAAUUGUUUGAGAUGA